rnacentral:rRNA from 1 species
GUCCAGACUCCUACGGGAGGCAGCAGUGGGGGAUAUUGCACAAUGGGGGGAACCCUGAUGCAGCGACGCCGCGUGGGUGAAGGAGCGUUUCGGCGCGUAAAGCCCUCUCGGCAGGGAAGAAGGAGGACGGUACCUGACUAAGAAGCCCCGGCUAACUACGUGCCAGCAGCCGCGGUAAUACGUAGGGGGCAAGCGUUAUCCGGAUUUACUGGGUGUAAAGGGAGCGUAGGUGGCAGGGCAAGUCAGAUGUGAAAGCCCGGGGCUCAACCCCGGGAGUGCAUUUGAAACUGUCCAGCUGGAGUGCAGGAGAGGUAAGCGGAAUUCCUAGUGUAGUGGUGAAAUGCAUAGAUAUUAGGAGGAACACCAGUGGCGAAGGCGGCUUACUGGACUGUAACUGACACUGAGGCUCGAAAGCGUGGGGAGCAAACAGGAUUAGAUACCCCGGUA